UAUUCACCGUGGCAUUCUGAUCCACGAUUACUAGCGAUUCCGACUUCAUGGAGUCGAGUUGCAGACUCCAAUCCGGACUACGACGCACUUUAUGAGGUCCGCUUGCUCUCGCGAGGUCGCUUCUCUUUGUAUGCGCCAUUGUAGCACGUGUGUAGCCCUGGUCGUAAGGGCCAUGAUGACUUGACGUCAUCCCCACCUUCCUCCAGUUUAUCACUGGCAGUCUCCUUUGAGUUCCCGGCCGGACCGCUGGCAACAAAGGAUAAGGGUUGCGCUCGUUGCGGGACUUAACCCAACAUUUCACAACACCGAGCUGACGACAGCCAUGCAGCACCUGUCUCACAGUUCCCGAAGGCACCAAUCCAUCUCUGGAAAGUUCUGUGGAUGUCAAGACCAGGUAAGGUUCUUCGCGUUGCAUCGAAUUAAACCACAUGCUCCACCGCUUGUGCGGGC
rnacentral:rRNA from 1 species